GACGAACGCUGGCGGCGUGCUUAACACAUGCAAGUCGAACGGUGAAGCGCCUUCCUUUUUGGUGGGUGUGGAUGAGUGGCGAACGGGUGAGUAACACGUGAGUGACCUGCCCCCUUCUUCUGGAUAACCGCAUGAAAGUGUGGCUAAUACGGGAUAUUCUGGGUCUGUCGCAUGAUGGGUCUGGGAAAGAUAUUGUUUCGGUGGGGGAUGGGCUCGCGGCCUAUCAGCUUGUUGGUGGGGUGAUGGCCUACCAAGGCGGUGACGGGUAGCCGGCCUGAGAGGGUGGACGGUCACACUGGGACUGAGACACGGCCCAGACUCCUACGGGAGGCAGCAGUGGGGAAUAUUGCACAAUGGGCGCAAGCCUGAUGCAGCGACGCCGCGUGAGGGAUGGAGGCCUUCGGGUUGUGAACCUCUUUCGCCAGUGAAGCAGGCCUGCCUCGUUUGUGGGUGGGUUGACGGUAGCUGGAGAAGAAGCGCCGGCUAACUACGUG
rnacentral:rRNA from 1 species